GACGUAGGGCGCGAGCGUUGUCCGGAUUUAUUGGGCGUAAAGAGCUCGUAGGCGGCUUGUCGCGUCGUUCGUGAAAACCCGGGGCUCAACCCCGGGCUUGCGGUCGAUACGGGCAGGCUGGAGUUCGGUAGGGGAGACUGGAAUUCCUGGUGUAGCGGUGGAAUGCGCAGAUAUCAGGAGGAACACCAGUGGCGAAGGCGACUACCUGGCCCACUCUUGACGCUGAGGCGCGAAAGCUAGGGGAGCGAACGGG
rnacentral:rRNA from 1 species